GCAGUAGCAUUAAUUAGAAACGGUUUCCUAAACCGUAGGUCAGGGGUUCGAAUCCCUUCCGGGACGCCA
rnacentral:tRNA from 1 species